rnacentral:lncRNA from 1 species
GCACUUCCUCCCAUCUGAGGUCCAUAAAAGCCUAGGGCUCAGCCAGAGUAAAGUAGAGGGCAGAGAAAAGCCCUGGGCUCAGCCAGAGAAGGGCAGAGGACAGAGGACUGAGAGAGGACUGGACAACCAGCUGCAAAGAGGAGCUACCUUCUCUGUGAGAGCUUCAGAGACCUGCAGAGACAUUGAAUGAACUGCCUGCAGAGAGGAGUCACCCUCUCCAAGGUCUUCGCUCUGCUAAGAACAGCAGACAAUGGGGCAACCAGUGGGCAGAGAGGAGCUACCCUCUUCAGAGCCUCCUCUCUGCUGAGAGCUGGACACUUGAUUGGAUGAUCUGCCUACAGAGAGGAGCAACCCACUGUGGAUUUUCUCUGAGCUGUAACACUCAAUAAAGCUCUUCUUUGUCUUGUUCACCUUCCACUUGUCUGCAUAGGCAGGAUUUGGCACCACUGGCAGUGACACUGUAACAUUUUGGGGGCUCAUCUGGGAUCUCCAAAAGGAGAACUGACAUGCUGUCCAAUAAACUUCCUUGUCCUCCUUAUGCAAGAAAGGAAAUCCUGACUUAAUGCGUAGCCACAGAACAAGUUAAAAGUGAAAUAUCUACACAAAUUAUUUGGAAUC